CUAAAACUUUCAAACCUAUAAGUCUGGUAUCAAAGAGUGGAGUACUUAUACAGGACAUCCUUAGUGUCUUAAGUCUAAGGACCAAAUACACUAUUGGGACUACAGAAUCGCCGUCAGAUAAUAAGGCAUCAUCAACCAUCUAGUAUUCCGUGAGCGGAUCAAUCAGUGAACUCAUUCUCCAAUGAGCACCUGCACUGUAUUCUUAGUGUCCCC
rnacentral:lncRNA from 1 species